rnacentral:rRNA from 1 species
UACGAAGGGGGCUAGCGUUGCUCGGAAUCACUGGGCGUAAAGCGCACGUAGGCGGAUUCUUAAGUCAGGGGUGAAAUCCUGGAGCUCAACUCCAGAACUGCCUUUGAUACUGGGAAUCUUGAGUCCGGAAGAGGAGAGUGGAAUUCCUGGUGUAGCGGUGAAAUGCGCAGAUAUCAGGAAGAACACCCGUGGCGAAGGCGGCUCUCUGGGACGGUACUGACGCUGAGACGCGAAAGCGUGGGGAGCGAACAGG